GGCCAUGGUGUAACUAGCACAGUGCUGA
rnacentral:piRNA from 1 species